GUUCCUGUUGUGCAAUGAAUAGCACCUUGGAGCUCUAAUCCAAAGGUGGUGGAUUCGAAUCCCACCUGGGAUG